AUACGGGGGGUGCAAGCGUUAAUCGGAAUUACUGGGCGUAAAGCGCGCGUAGGCGGUUAAAUAAGUUGGAUGUGAAAUCCCCGGGCUCAACCUGGGAACUGCAUUCAAAACUGUUUAACUAGAGUAUGGUAGAGGGAAGUGGAAUUCCAGGUGUAGCGGUGAAAUGCGUAGAUAUCUGGAGGAACAUCAGUGGCGAAGGCGACUUCCUGGAUCAAUACUGACGCUGAGGUGCGAAAGCGUGGGGAGCAAACAGGAUUAGAAACCCGGGUAGUCC
rnacentral:rRNA from 1 species